rfam:Melissococcus plutonius ATCC 35311 DNA, complete genome.
CCGAGAGGCUAGGACAAUGGCGGACUUGUGAAUUGUGUCAGAUCUGGAAGGAAGCAGCACUAAGCAGGUGUCGCCAUGUGUCUGAUUAAUUUAGUAAUU